rnacentral:rRNA from 1 species
UACGUAGGGUGCAAGCGUUGUCCGGAAUUAUUGGGCGUAAAGAGCUCGUAGGCGGUCUGUCGCGUCGGCUGUGAAAACCCGGGGCUCAACCCCGGGCCUGCAGUCGAUACGGGCAGACUAGAGUGCGGUAGGGGAGACUGGAAUUCCUGGUGUAGCGGUGGAAUGCGCAGAUAUCAGGAGGAACACCAAUAGCGAAGGCAGCUCGCUGGGACGUUACUGACACUGAGGCGCGAAAGCGUGGGGAGCGAACAGG